rnacentral:lncRNA from 1 species
UCCCUAAGUUGAAUGUACUGUUCGGUAUCAUGAUCGUGAUCACGAUGAAACUGACAGUACUUCUUUCUAUCAUGACUCCUUGAUGGCACUUUCAUCAGUGGGAGAUGUCAUAGGUACUCAUCUCCUUCGAUCUCCAUUAAGAUCUGCGUAUGGAGAGCAAAAAGAGGAGUAUAGGAGUCAUACCUGUCAUAAUUAUUCAG